CAAGGGAGCAGAUGAACAAGCUGCCGGGGGUGGCAGCGGUGGUGAUAACAUCUGGACCCACCCGAGGAGAGCACUCUCCCGAUGCUGUAGGAGACACAAUUCUGAUUCCCGUGUGGCUGAGGUAGCCAAUGCAGGGAUGAGCACUGGAGAAGUAUCCAUAGUGUUGGGGAGAUGCAUCAGCUCCAGCUCUACUGGCUUUUACUGGAGUCUCAUGCAGGUUUUCUUUCUCUUGUCUGUGCAGACGCUUUUCACCCACUUAAUGUCCCCGAGCUGCACCCUGUGGUCCACAGUCAAGGCUGGGCACAGUGGGUUUGCCCUGUGUGCUGGAGUGCCAACUGCCAGUGCUUUCCUCAUGUCACUUCUGAGGCUCAGUGACUUUCUUCCCCCUUCAUGAAGCAAAAUGUUGCCCUCCGCUGUUUGCAGUGUAGCUGGAACAGAGAACUCGCUGCAUCCGAGCCCGUCCGGCGCUUUACUCCAGUGUCACAUCCGUGGCAGUGGUCAGGGGAUUUGAAGAGAGACAACUCCCACCCAGCUCAUAGAUGCUGCAAAAACCUGCAAAAGGUCCCGUCAUCCUCCAUGAGCCACCAGGAUUGACAACCUCCCACUCUCAGGGUGAGCUGCUCCUGCCCUGGCACCUUGGCACAGGACUGAGACGUGGGGGUUGGCCAUGGGUUCAGCUGGGUUGUCUUCAGACUGUGGUGGGUCCAACCAACACCAAUCUCCUCACACAUCGUGUUUCACAAGAAAACAAUGCAAAGCAGCUCAGUUGUACAUCCUUGGUCCAAGUUCCUCAUUUUUCCCUUCUCUUAUUCCUUGGUGACUCUUCAAGCUCCUUCUGGUAACUUUGGAACUAAGCUGGCAAAAUUGUCCUCCAGCUCCUCCUUGCUGGAGAUGCAACACAGAUGGAUUCAUGCUUGUGGUCUUUUAUAGACCUUCAACAGCUGAGUGUUAGGAGUCUUAAACCAGUAAAUGGAGGGAGUGACUACUAUUUUUGUAGAUGUGGAAACUGAGGCAUAGGCUACUUACCCAGGUGAAAAGAAGUCAGAUUUUAGGGCCAGGGGACACAAUUUCACUCAGAAACCUUUGCUGUAUCAGCUUCCCUGGCAUCUACUGAGAUGUUUCCAUGAGGGAGGAGACACUUCCUCCCUUCUUCUUGCCCAGAAAGGAUCAGAAGUCAGGGACAGAGCUGAUAACAUGGCCUGUCCCCAACCCAUGACCUCCCUGCUUGCACAAGGGGCAGCAGGCAGAAAUAAAACACAAUUCGGGACUGACAGAGCUGGGGAAGAGCAAGAUGAGUCUUGGUGGGGAGACCAUCCUCACCUUUCAUAUUCUAAUGCCUUGCCUUUUCCUGAUUUGUGAGUUCUUGGGAGUCCUGCUGGGAAUUCACUCGAACGGAGGCACACGCCGCCGUCCCUCGGUCCUACAGAAUCACCCCAGCCCUCAGAAGCGAUGCUGCUACCAGGAGUUGCGAGCAUGUCCUUGUGCCCUACUUGUGGGAGAGAUGGAAAAGGAGAGCUGCAACGUCUUGGACCCCUUGAGAUUUUGUUGCCUGCUGUUGGAGCUGUUUGUGCAAUAGGGUCUUUUCCAUGGUGUCUUUCUGUAAGAAUGUGGGAUGACCUUAUCUACCAGGGUGUUGGGUGUCCUGGGCUCUGCCCCAUAGCAGGCUGACAUCUCCCUGUUGUCCUGCCCCAUAGCAAGGAAGCAGCUGAAGCAGAAGGAGAUUUGGGCUUUACUGGGUUCAACAGCUGGAUCUAUCCCCUUUUUGCUGUUUUUCCUCAUCUGAAGCAAAUAAUUGAAGGGAAGGCUGGUGAGCCUGGAUGCAGGUAGGGGUUGGGAAUUGAGCUGAACUCCUUGGCUGGAAGGGCAGGUCAUUUUGCAGGAAUGCCAGCUAAGUUGGCUUUCCUUAGCCAUGCUGGAGCUAUGAAACGUGAGGAUGAGAUGGAGACCCCGUCAGGGGUCAUGGCACACAUAGGAGACAGGCUGGUGAGGGACUAGGAGAUGGGAGCUACAGGGAGGACAGCACCCGUGGAAGGGGCCACCUUGGGAUCAGCUGGCCUCAGCUUGAGGGGCUGGUGGAUAAACAAAGCUUUGGGUGUUUAGUAGGGGGGAAAAUAUUUUUCCUGUAUUGUUUUUUUCUUCUCUGCUUCUCCUCCUUCAUCCUCUCCUUUCUCCUUUCCUGCAGUGCUACAACAGCUGGUUUGAGGCAGGACAAGAGGAAAGUCUAGCCAGUGUCUGAGCUCCCCUUCGCCCCAAACCUCCCACUGCUGCCAUCCAGUCUGCGCUGAAAAAACCUUGGGAAAUAUCAGCAUUUGAAACACAAAAUGUGCUGCAUUGUAGCAUCUGCUUUUGUGGUAUUUCCAGCCCAGAUGGAAGCAGGAAGCACUCAAAAUUCAGAGAUGGAAAAAAAAAAAGGAUCUGGUGAGAUUUUGUCUUCCUGCCAAACUCACCAAACCCAGGAUGCUGGGAGAACCCUGCUGUGGACGCAACAUCCCAGGCCCUCAACUCUUCCAUCCGUUUCUGGUUGUCUGCUCUUUGCUCAUCCCAAACCAUCCUCUCGUUCCCAAAUCACUUUCAGGACGCUGCACAAAGCCUGACCCUGCUGUUGGAGCUGUGGAUGGGCGGAUAAUACAGUCGCUGAAUUUAUUUCACCUUUUCCUCUGGUUGCGAAUUGUCCGGGAGCAGAUGGCGAUUUUCUCAAGUGUAUCCGUUAUUCGAAGUCACUCACUGAGACAGCGAUGGCUCAAACAAAUCCCAGGCCCCCUGCAAAGCCAUCAUUUGGUCUUUCCAUCUGCCCAGCCGCCACUGUCGGCGUGGGCUCGGCUUCCGCCAGCGCGCCGGAGGGAAGCGAGGAGCCAGGAGAGCCGGUGGAUGUGGUCAGCCCCGUUGUCUGCACCUCUCUCCCACUUCAUCUCUGUGGAAUGCUAAGCUCUGGAGGGUGGCAGGAGCGACUGGGAUCCACAUUCCACCUUUACUGGGGUUUGGGAGGUUUGGGGCUGCGCUGUCUCGCUCGCAUGGUGCCUUCCUGUGUAGUGACAGGGUGAGGGUAACUCACUGGGAUAAUGCCCAGUUGCAAACCGGGAAGCUGCUUCUCAGGAGAGGAUGCCAGAGGGUGUUUCUGCUGCACCUCCCUGCGUGGCCCCGCAGGAAAUGUGUGUUUUUAAGGUGGUGAAACACCGAAACAGCCCCAGGAAACCUGAGGCCUCAUGUGUGCGGUGUCCCUGCGGCACAGGCUGGUGUCGCAGCCAGGGCUGAAGGUGCUGAGGGUUUGUCUCUGCAGGAGUGUGCCCAUCUUUGGGUGAUGGAUAUGGAGAGGGGACCUGCAAAAGCAGCCUGAGGACGACUGUAGGUGGCCAGAGCCCUCCCCGUGUUGGUGGCACCUUGUUGGAGAAGCCUAGGCAGGUCUGCGAGGAAUGGGUUUUGACUGGUGGCUUCUGCCAACCUCCUCCAAUACCUCCAAGGAGACCUGUGUGCCCAGGGCUCUGCUCUGGGCUUUGGUAGAUUGGGAAGGGGCCAGGUGCAGGCUGUGAUCCAUCCCCCGGAUGACCCCCACCCCCAAAACCCAAUAGGGUUAUUGUGAAAAUGAAGAGAACCGGGGAGAAACACAUGAGUUCUCAAGCUCACUCUCAGCCCAGCAGUCAGUCCCUGGAGCUGGGGCUCCAACUUCCCCACCCAGAGAGGGGCUGAGCCAGAGAAAUGCUCCCGCAGCGAUCUGCUCCCUCCUCCUGGCUGCACUGCCCUUCUUUUUUUUCCCCCCCACAUCUUCUUUCUUAUUUCCUCCCCAGCAGAGACUCAGAGGUGGCCGGAGGGGACUCGGUGUCCUCUCGAAGGGAUACCAGGGCCAUGCAGAGGGCACUGGGGGGGCUGUGAAGGGUUUUCAAAGGGUGAAACACUUUGAAAUGCAGUUUCCUCUCCCCUCUUCACCUCCCCCCGGGCUAAACAAAUACCCCCCGGCCGGGAGAUGCCUCCCGCAUCCCGCAGGCUUUUGUUCCCAGGCUUUUGUCUAGGGCUGGGAAAGGGGCCAGGAUCCCUCAGCCUCCCCAGGGACACACAUGCAGACAGGGUCUUGCCUGCUUGGGAUGCUGAGAGGGAGGCAGGAGGUGAGAGCUGCCUGUGCCCGCUGCCCAGAGCUUGGGGACAUCCCAUGAGCCAUCUUGGUGUCCCUUAGUGGCUUCCAGCCGCUGUCCCCCUUGCUUGUCACAUCACUGGCACUUUCUGCCCAUCCCUGGGAGCUACUCAUGGGACAGAUCCUGGUCCAUCCUGCCCCCACUGUGUCUCCUCUUGGCAUCCUGCCACCAGUGCAGCCUGCAGGCUCUGUGUAUGGCCAGUGCCACCAGCUCAUGUCCUCUCUGUGGACAUCCCCAGAUGCCAAUUGACACCCAUCACCCAUGGGACCCUCCAGGCAGAGGGUCACCGGCUGCAUCCCCAUCACAGGAACUCUACAGAAGCCCAAGCAAAAAUUAUGUGGGUUUUACAGUGACCUCUGGCCCUCAGGAACUCAUCACCAGGCUUUUCAUUUACAUCCCAAAAGCCACCUUAAUUACACCGCGGGGAGGGAUCACUUCCGGCAUUUGCUUUUUGGGGCAAAAGGUUGAUGGGAAAAAAUCCUGUGAACAGUCAGACAUCCCUGAAGAGACUGAGGAGACUGGAGGGCCAGCCUCAAGCCUGUCCCUGCCAGUGACAAGAAACACCUUGACGAACUCAAAGCAAAGGUGAGACUCCAAACAAACCCUCUGGAAACCAAACCCUCUGGAAACCAAACCCUCUGGGAGCCAACCCCCAUCUUUUCCCCGGGGCAAAGUGUUUCUCUGGUGACUACGUUUGGAAGAAAACAGGAUUGUUUGAAAUCUCCCCUGUUGUUCCUGCCUCCCGCCAGGAAUUACAAAAAGAAAAUAAAUACCCGAUUUUUGUUAUUGAAACUUUGAAAGUUCCCCUGGGAAGAGCAGACCCCGUUUGCCCCAGCGCCACAGUCCCUUCAUGUCCCUGUCCCUGCGGGGCCAGGCAGCCGCCGCUGGUCCAGCCUCUCCGGCCAGCUGCAGCCAGGGAUGUGCAGAGCCUUUCCAGACAACAAAAGCUCUCUGGCUGCCUGAUUUCCCUCUGCCUUAUCUCCCUCCGCGAUAGCCAGGUUAUCGGGAAAUGGAAAAGGGCUCAGGACAGCCUGACCCCAAUCCCUGGGG